rnacentral:rRNA from 1 species
CAGCAGCCGCGGUAAUACGUAGGUGGCAAGCGUUGUCCGGAAUUAUUGGGCGUAAAGGGCUCGCAGGCGGUUUCUUAAGUCUGAUGUGAAAGCCCCCGGCUCAACCGGGGAGGGUCAUUGGAAACUGGGAAACUUGAGUGCAGAAGAGGAGAGUGGAACUCCACGUGUAGCGGUGAAAUGCGUAGGGAUGUGGAGGAACACCAGUGGCGAAGGCGACUCCCUGGUCUGUAACUGACGCUGAGGAGCGAAAGCGUGGGGAGCGAACAGGAUUAGAUACCCCUGUAGUCCCUGUCUCUUAUAC